rnacentral:lncRNA from 12 species
GCCGGGGCAAGCCCACUCUCUCCUGCUCCCCGGGCUGGUGGGAGGACGUAGGGGUCCGGCCUGGGCUGGGGUGGGAGAAGCUGCAGACAGGAUGGAAGUUCAAGUUUUCAUUUCCACCAGGCUGGCUUCGGGGGGAAGGGCACCUGCAGCAGCGUGGUGGGGGUGACAGCUGUGGGAGGUCUGCUGGGCCCCCGUGGGCUGGCCCGUCGAGUCCGUGGCUUCCGUGCCUCAGUGUGGGUGUCGUUGGGCCUGCUGAGAUCCAGGCUCGGAGACCUGUGCUGGCCCCCGGCCCCUGAGGUCCGGAGGGGGCUCCCGGAGCCCCGCGGGCUGGCCUCUCCUGCACUCUGCUCCCUGGCCGCCUGCGCUGAACCCCCGGCUGCCCCACCCCGACCCCCCGGAACACGCUCACUGCUGUGUGCAAGUCUGGAUCUUCCUGAAAACUGGAGACCACCGGCGUCACGGCAGCCAGACCGGCCCCUUUGCCGUCCCAGCGCUCCCCGUUUGUCCCGCGUCCCAACGUCAAGGUGAGACGGGGCACGACCCUCGGGGGGCCCCGCCUGGUGGGGGGGUCAGGCCCGCUGCCUGUGCCCGUGGUGGCCCGGGGACAUGGCGACAGCGGAUGGCGGGGGAGGGGAGCGUGCGGUGUGCCCCCCGCCGGGCUGUGGGGUGGCCCUCUUUGUGGGCUGAGCUCGGCCCCCCAAGAUUUCCCACCCGGUCUCCCCCCACUGCUCCCCACCC